GAUGAACGCUGGCGGCGUGCUUAACACAUGCAAGUCGAGCGAUGAAGUUUCCUUCGGGAAACGGAUUAGCGGCGGACGGGUGAGUAACACGUGGGUAACCUGCCUCAUAGAGUGGAAUAGCCUUCCGAAAGGAAGAUUAAUACCGCAUAAUGUUGAAAGAUGGCAUCAUCAUUCAACCAAAGGAGCAAUCCGCUAUGAGAUAGACCCGCGGCGCAUUAGCUAGUUGGUGGGGUAACGGCCUACCAAGGCGACGAUGCGUAGCCGACCUGAGAGGGUGAUCGGCCACAUUGGGACUGAGACACGGCCCAGACUCCUACGGGAGGCAGCAGUGGGGAAUAUUGCACAAUGGGGGAAACCCUGAUGCAGCAACGCCGCGUGAGUGAUGAAGGUUUUCGGAUCGUAAAGCUCUGUCUUUGGGGAAGAUAAUGACGGUACCCAAGGAGGAAGCCACGGCUAACUACGUGCCAGCCGCCGCCGUAAGAC
rnacentral:rRNA from 1 species